CCCCCCAUUAGGAACACCUCAAGGGUGAUUCCGGAGCCGGGGGAGACUUUGGCUGCUGCCUCUGUGCCGGACCGGUCGGGGAGGAGCCCAGACUCCCGCAUGGAGGAAUUCAGGGUGGGGCAGUUAAUAAGAUCAGCAAGGAGAAGGUUCCGCUUGGCAGCCGCCGCGUCCCAGGAGGGCCUGGAGCCGAGACAACGGCCUCUCGCCUCACAGGGUAUGGCUGGUGCACCGCUGGGGCUGCUGCCGAAGCCCCCUCCCCGCAAAUAAUGCAGGCCACGUCGUGUAUGCAACCGCCUGUACAUGAAAGCGCGCCCCUUCUCCGACGGCCUGGCCGAGGACAUCGACAAAGGCGACGUCUCCGCCCGCCAGGAGCUGAAGACAC